UACGUAGGUGGCGAGCGUUGUCCGGAUUUAUUGGGCGUAAAGCGCGCGCAGGCGGUCGCGUAAGUCUGCUGUGAAAUCUCCCUGGCUCAACCGGGAGGGGGCGGCGGAGACUGCGGGACUGGGAGGGACCUAGGAGGCCGGUGGGAAUUCCCGGUGUAGCGGUGAAAUGCGCAGAUAGUCAGGAGGAACACCGGUGGGCCGAAGGCGGGUCUC
rnacentral:rRNA from 1 species